UAGGGAAUCUUCGGCAAUGGACGAAAGUCUGACCGAGCAACGCCGCGUGAGUGAAGAAGGUUUUCGGAUCGUAAAACUCUGUUGUUAGAGAAGAACAAGGACGUUAGUAACUGAACGUCCCCUGACGGUAUCUAACCAGAAAGCCACGGCUAACUACGUGCCAGCAGCCGCGGUAAUACGUAGGUGGCAAGCGUUGUCCGGAUUUAGUGGGCGUAAAGCGAGCGCAGGCGGUUUCUUAAGUCUGAUGUGAAAGCCCCCGGCUCAACCGGGGAGGGUCAUUGGAAACAGGGAGACUUGAGUGCAGAAGAGGAGAGUGGAAUUCCAUGUGUAGCGGUGAAAUGCGUAGAUAUAUGGAGGAACACCAGUGGCGAAGGCGGCUCUCUGGUCUGUAACUGACGCUGAGGCUCGAAAGCGUGGGGAGCAAACAGG
rnacentral:rRNA from 1 species